UGGUAGGAGGGUAUUCAGUGAAUCUUCUGAUUAUUUCACUUGUUCUCAGUGAAGAAGAGAAGUCAGCAACAGCGGGGAUGGGGAGGUAGCAUUAGAGAUUUGGGGGUGGAGGAGAAUCUGGAAAAGAGGAAAAGGGAAAAGUAGCAACAAAGGUCCAGAUUUCUUUGUUUCCAACUGGAUUUAGCUACAUGGUCCAGAGGCAAAGAGGCAAGUUAUCAAGAGUGUUUGCUAGGGAAUGAGAUAGACUGCAGAGUUAAAGUUGUUUUGUUUUUGAGUUCAAGUAAAUUCUAAUUUAAUAUUUUCAUUUAAAGAUAGUAUGUAUAUAUAACAAAUUAGAGUAAAAAAUAAAAUUUAAAAAAUAGUAUGUAUAGGGGCUGGGGUUAUGGCUCAGCGGUUACGUGCUUGCCUUGCAUGCAUGAGACACUGGGUUCAGUCCUCAGCACCAAAUAGAUAGAUAGAUAAGUUAAAUAGUACGUAUAAUAUCCAAUCUUCAUAAAAAGUCUCUGUUCUAACAUUCUUUUAUAUGUAAAUUUGUGAAAAGAAAUGUCUAAUGAUCUAAAAGUUCUAUUGAUAGUUCCUGGGGGAGAGAUGGUAGAAUUUUGAGCACAUUUUAAUUACCUUUAAUACUUCUUAAAUACUUUUUUUUGUUUAUCACAAUAAGUUCUGUUUCCUUGAUUCUGAAUAUUAUAGAUGUUUCCAUAUCUGUUUUAGGGAGUAUUCUUACAUGAAAUUUAAGUGUUUUCAAGAGUCAAGACUUAGAAAUGCUAAUAGUGAGUCUGUUGUAGCCUUCCAAAUACGCCACGCAUUUAUUGAUACCAAGAGUUGUUAAUUGUCUUGAUGAUAUUUAUGCCUUAUGUAAUGCAAGAGAUAAACCUGUUAAAAGUAUGAUUGUAAUAUUUGAGGACUUAUAUCUCUUUAUUUCUUAGAUUGUGUAGUCUACUUCUUAAAUACUUUUGUUAAAUAAUAAGCUGCAUCAUUACUACAACAGGCAAUCUUUUUUAAAAAAGCAAAGUUGGACUGGGUGCGGUGCUGCACACCUGUAAUCCUGGCAGCUUGGGAGGCUGACGCAGGAGGAUCACAAGUUCAAAGCCAGCCUCAGCAAUUUAGUGAAGCCCUAAGCAACUUAGGGUAUCUAAGAGACACUGUCUCAAAAAAAAAAAAAAAAAAAGAUCUGGGAAUGUGGCUCAGUGGUUAAGUGCCCAGGGUCCAAUCCCUGGUACCAAAAAAUAAAAAUAAAAUAAAAGCAAGGUUGAGGAAGCAUAAAGGAAUGGAAAUAAUAUCUUGCUUAAGUUGAAGGCACAUGGGCUGCUUCCAGGGGAGACAGGACUGAAGGGAGAAGCAGUGUGGUCAGAGGUGGAUUGCUACAAUAAGUAGUGUGUCUUUUAUUUGGUAGGAAAUGGGUUCCCUUCUGUGUUAGAGAUUAAGGUGACUGGAUCUUUGAUUUAGGAAGACUGACUGGGGGGCAGUGUCCAGGGGCAUUUGGUGGGAAACCUAGGGAACUGGAGAUCAACUAAAAGGCAGUUCAUUUGUUCUUGGAGAAAGUAAAUAAACUUUUUACAACCUGAUCUUGAGAGAUGAGGCAAUUUUGAGUAACUGGAGAGACAACCAAGAACUUUCAUGGAAAGACUGAGAAUGGUAAAGCUGUCUCUUUAUGAUGUUAAUUUAGACAAAAUGCAAUUCCAGUGCAAAUCAAAUAUGUAUUCUCCCCCCCUCGCUCUACAUAUACUAUAACAUUGUGUGUAUGUAUGUGUAUAAUCUUGGCAAAAUUAUAAUGAAAUUAAUCUAGAAGCUUAGAGAGUUGACAAUAACAAAAUAUUUCUUACUUCAUAAGGUUGUUAAGAGUAAAUGGUACACUUCUUUAAGGCCUUAGCAUCACAC
rnacentral:lncRNA from 1 species